rnacentral:rRNA from 1 species
CCUAUGGGGGGCAGCAGUGGGGAAUAUUGGACAAUGGGGGAAACCCUGAUCCAGCGACGCCGCGUGAGUGAAGAAGUAUUUCGGUACGUAAAGCUCUAUCAGCAGGAAAGAAAAUGACGGUACCUGACUAAGAAGCCCCGGCUAACUACGUGCCAGCAGCCGCGGUAAUACGUAGGGGGCAAGCGUUAUCCGGAUUUACUGGGUGUAAAGGGAGCGUAGACGGCAUGGCAAGUCUGAAGUGAAAGCCCGGGGCUCAACCGCGGGACUGCUUUUGAAACUGUUAAGCUGGAGUGCAGGAGAGGUAAGUGGAAUUCCUAGUGUAGCGGUGAAAUGCGUAGAUAUUAGGAGGAACACCAGUGGCGAAGGCGGCUUACUGGACUGUAACUGACGUUGAGGCUCGAAAGCGUGGGGAGCAAACAGGAUUAGAUACCCUUGUAGUC